AGUGAACGCUGGCGGUAUGCUUAACACAUGCAAGUCGAACGAGAACGGCUCUAGCUUGCUAGAGUGUCAGCUAAGUGGCGGACGGGUGAGUAAUAUAUAGCUAACCUGCCCAUAAGUAAGGGAUAACAUUUAGAAAUGAGUGCUAAUACCUUAUAAUCCUUAAUGAUAUUAAGUUGUUAAGGCAAAGAAUUUCGCUUAUGGAUGGGGCUAUAUUGUAUCAGCUUGUUGUUAGGGUAACGGCCUAACAAGGCUAUGACACAUAGUUGGUCUAAGAGGAUGACCAGCCACACUGGAACUGAGACACGGUCCAGACUCCUACGGGAGGCAGCAGUGGGGAAUAUUGCACAAUGGGCGAAAGCCUGAUGCAGCAAUACCGCGUGGAGGAUGAAUCAUUUAGGUGUGUAAACUCCUUUUAUAUAGGAAGAUAAUGACGGUACUAUAUGAAUAAGCACCGGCUAACUCCGUGCCAGCAGCCGCGGUAAUACGGAGGGUGCAAGCGUUACUCGGAAUCACUGGGCGUAAAGAGUGUGUAGGCGGUUUGGUAAGUCAGAUGUGAAAUCCUAUGGCUCAACCAUAGAACUGCAUUUGAAACUGCUAGACUAGAGUUAGGGAGAGGCAAAAGGAAUUAGUGGUGUAGGGGUAAAAUCCGUAGAUAUCACUAGGAAUACCAAAUGCGAAGGCAUUUUGCUGGAACUUUACUGACGCUGAGACACGAAAGCAUGGGGAGCAAACGGGAUUAGAUACCCCGGUAGUCCAUGCCGUAAACGAUGAAUGUUAGUCGUUGCAGUGCUAGACAUUGCAGUGACACAGCUAACGCAUUAAACAUUCCGCCUGGGGAGUACGGUCGCAAGACUAAAACUCAAAGGAAUAGACGGGGACCCGCACAAGCGGUGGAGCAUGUGGUUUAAUUCGAAAAUACGCGAAGAACCUUACCUGGUCUUGACAUCCUUAGAAUCUUUAAGAAAUUAGGGAGUGCUAGUUUACUAGAACUAAGUGACAGGUGCGCUGCACGGCUGUCGUCAGCUCGUGUCGUGAGAUGUUGGGUUAAGUCCCGCAACGAGCGCAACCCUUUUCUUUAGUUGCUAACAGUUCGGCUGAGAACUCUAAAGAUACUGCCUGGGUAACCAGGAGGAAGGUGAGGACGACGUCAAGUCAUCAUGGCCCUUACGACCAGGGCUACACACGUGCUACAAUGGCUAGGACAAAAAGAAGCAAAAUCGUGAGGUGGAGCAAAUCUUUAAACCUAGUCCCAGUUCGGAUAGCAGUCUGCAACUCGACUGCUUGAAGUUGGAAUCGCUAGUAAUCGCGAAUCAGCAAUGUCGCGGUGAAUACGUUCCCGGGUCUUGUACUCACCGCCCGUCACACCAUGGGAGUUGAACUCAUUCGAAGCGGGGAUGCUAAAGUAGCUACCCUCCACAGUGGAAUCAGCGACUGGGGUG
rnacentral:rRNA from 1 species